rnacentral:rRNA from 1 species
AGUGAAUAGAUACCCAGGUAGUCCCAGCCGUAAACGAUGCUCGCUAGGUGUCAGGCAUGGCGCGACCGUGUCUGGUGCCGCAGGGGAAGCCGUGAAGCGAGCCACCUGGGAAGUACGGCCGCAAGGCUGAAACUUAAAGGAAUUGGCGGGGGAGCACAACAACGGGUGGAGCCUGCGGUUUAAUUGGACUCAACGCCGGACAACUCACCGGGGGCGACAGCAAUAUGUAGGCCAAGCUGAAGACUUUGCCUGAAUCGCUGAGAGGAGGUGCAUGGCCGUCGCCAGUUCGUACUGUGAAGCAUCCUGUUAAGUCAGGCAACGAGCGAGACCCGUGCCCACUGUUACCAGCAUGUCCUGGUACGGAU